UACUGCACGGUGUGAGCUGGUCACCUGACUUGCAGUGUGGUGAUAGUGGAACACACUGCAUACCCUGUGACCUCCCUACACAGUGCUGUG
rnacentral:pre_miRNA from 1 species